ACGGGAGGCAGCAGUGGGGAAUAUUGCACAAUGGGGGAAACCCUGAUGCAGCGACGCCGCGUGAGUGAAGAAGUAUUUCGGUAUGCAAAGCUCUAUCAGCAGGGAAGAAAAUGACGGUACCUGACUAAGAAGCACCGGCUAAAUACGUGCCAGCAGCCGCGGUAAUACGUAUGGUGCAAGCGUUAUCCGGAUUUACUGGGUGUAAAGGGAGCGUAGACGGCGAGGCAAGUCUGAAGUGAAAUGCGGGGGCUCAACCCCUGAACUGCUUUGGAAACUGUUUUGCUAGAGUGCAGGAGAGGUAAGUGGAAUUCCUAGUGUAGCGGUGAAAUGCGUAGAUAUUAGGAGGAACACCGGCGGCGAAGGCGGCUUACUGGACUGUAACUGACGUUGAGGCUCGAAAGCGUGGGGAGCAAACAGGAUUAGAUACCCUGGUA
rnacentral:rRNA from 1 species